rnacentral:rRNA from 1 species
AAUGCGGAAGAGAUAAGUGCUGAAAGCAUCUAAGCACGAAACUUGCCCCGAGAUGAGUUCUCCCUGAGACUUUAAGUCUCCUGAAGGAACGUUAAAGACGAUGACGUUGAUAGGCCGGGUGUGUAAGCGCAGCGAUGCGUUGAGCUAACCGGUACUAAUGAACCGUGAGGCUUAACCUU